UACAGGGGGGGCAAGCGUUGUUCGGAAUUACUGGGCGUAAAGGGUUCGUAGGUGGCCAACUAAGUCAGACGUGAAAUCCCUCAGCUUAGCUGGGGAACUGCGUCUGAUACUGGAUGGCUUGAGUGCAGGAGAGGAACGCGGAAUUCCAGGUGUAGCGGUGAAAUGCGUAGAUAUCUGGAGGAACACCGGUGGCGAAGGCGGCGUUCUGGACUGCAACUGACACUGAGGAACGAAAGCCAGGGGAGCAAACGGG
rnacentral:rRNA from 1 species